UACAGGGGGGGCAAGCGUUGUUCGGAAUUACUGGGCGUAAAGGGCUCGUAGGCGGCCAACUAAGUCACACGUGAAAUCCCCAGGCUUAACCUGGGAACUGCGUGUGAUACUGGAUGGCUUGAAUUCGGGAGAGGGAUGCAGAAUUCCAGGUGUAGCGGUGAAAUGCGUAGAUAUCUGGAGGAAUACCGGUGGCGAAGGCGGGUCUCUGGACAGUUCCUGACGCUGAGGCACGAAGGUCAGGGGAGCAAACGGG
rnacentral:rRNA from 1 species